AUCGCCCUACGGGAGGCAGCAGUGGGGAAUAUUGGGCAAUGGGCGCAAGCCUGACCCAGCAAUGCCGCGUGAAGGAAGAAGGCUUUCGGGUUGUAAACUUCUUUUAAGAGGGAAGAGAAGAAGACGGUACCUCUUGAAUAAGCCACGGCUAACUACGUGCUAGCAGCCGCGGUAAUACGUAGGUGGCAAGCGUUGUCCGGAUUUACUGGGUGUAAAGGGCGUGCAGCCGGGCUGACAAGUCAGAUGUGAAAUCCCGCGGCUCAACCGCGGAACUGCAUUUGAACCUGUAAGUCUUGAGUACCGGG
rnacentral:rRNA from 1 species